rnacentral:SRP_RNA from 1 species
GCCAGAUGCGAUAGCAUGUGACUGUAAUCCCAGCUAUUCGGAGGCUGAGGCAGGAGGAUCUCUUGAGCCCUGGAGUUCUGGGCUGUAGUGCACUAUGUAAAUCGGGUGUCCACACUCAGUUUGGCAUCAAUAUGGUGACCUCCUAAGAGCAAGGGACCACCAUAUUGCCUAAGGAUGGGUGAACUGGUCUGGGUUGAAAAUGGAGCAAGUCAAAACUUCUAUGCUGAUCAGUAAUAGGAUUGUGCCUGUGAAUAGCCACUGCACUGAAGCCUGGGCAACAUAGCGAGACCCUGUCUCU